rnacentral:rRNA from 1 species
UACGUAGGGGGCAAGCGUUGUCCGGAUUUAUUGGGCGUAAAGCGCGCGCAGGCGGCUCGCCAAGUCGGUCGUGAAAUCUCUCGGCUCAACCGGGAGGGGUCGGGCGAAACUGGCGAGCUUGAGGUCGGUAGGGGAAAGCGGAAUUCCCGGUGUAGUGGUGGAAUGCGUAGAUAUCGGGAGGAACACCAGUGGCGAAGGCGGCUUUCUGGACCGAAACUGACGCUGAGGCGCGAAAGCGUGGGGAGCGAUCCGGAUUAGAAACCCCCGUAGUCC